CCAAAGCCCACAAACGUGUCCCUGCAAUUUAAAACAAAUAUUUGUCUAACUAUUCACAACUCACCAAACGCGUCUUUGUGUAUAUCAAUCAAGGGCAAAGCCCUCUCCUCAGAAACAAAACGCUAAUUCCUGUUUGGAUCUCUCUCUCUCUCUCUCUCUCUCUCUCUCUCGUCCUCCUUCUCCUUCCUGUAUCUCUCGAUCUCUCAAUCAUGAACAAGGUAGUAGAUCCAAAAUCCAUGCAGAUCCCCCACUAUCGAUUUUGGAUCUGCUCCGAUGGUGAAGUUUCUGCUGGAGCAUCUGGAGAAAUCGAUUUUGGAUCUGCUCCGACGGUGAAGUUUCUGCUGGAGCAUCAGUCUUAAUCGAGUUUGGAUCUGCUCCGAUGGUGAAGUUUCUGCUGGAGCAUCUGGAGAAAUCUGGGUGUGGGAUAUUAGACGGGUCUUGCUGGGCCGUUCAUUGCGAGAAGAAGAUUGCCCGAGUAUACACCCGCCGCGGAUGGAUUCGUGCUGGCCAUCUUAGUGGUGAUUGCCACUGUAAACGUGAAUUUUUGCUGUGCCAAGAAGAUUCGAGAAUUGUGAACAAAGAGGAGGCGACAGUAAAAAGAAAGAGAGAGAAGAGAACAGGGAAACAAGAGAAAGAAGAAAGAAGAAGAAGACGGGAAGCUGUGUGUGUUUUCUUUGAUCAGUUGAUUGUGUGCGACGGAAUUUUGUAUCGUUUCACUGCCAUUGUUCUUCUGUCUGUUGAUUAACAUUAUCUUCAUCUCUUAUUGUUAUUCAGGCACUGGGAACAGUGUGCUAUCAGCUUCUGUUACUUUGGAUUCAGGUAUGAAUUUUAUAGGAACAAUUAUUUGCUGCACUGAACAUUGAACAGUUAUUUGUUUAAAUCAUUGGUUUUUAUGUGAACCAUGAUUGCUGACAUUCAAGAGUUAUUUACUUCAGUGAGUAAUUUCAGUAUUAUAUGGUUCGGUUCUUAAGAUUUGUUCAUAUCCUGCAUUUGUGCUUUAUCUAGAUCAACAGAAAAAAGAAACAAUGAAUGGAAGACAAGUAGGUUUGCAUUUGUUAAUACUAACUACUUCUAUUUUCGUUUUCUCUUCUUCAUGGUUUUUGUGCUCAUUGCGCUCUUCUCUUCUCUUAGCUUGUUGCUCAAAACAUAAGGGUAGAUCAUCAUCCUGGUGGUGGGCAUUGGUUUGCUGCGGGUCUCUCUCCUAAUAUUCCAGGCAGAAACAGGGUCUCCAUGCAUAGCAGCCCACAUUUUCAGGAUUGAAGUAGCGGUGAGUCUUCGUUAUCCCAUCAUCAUAUCAGAUUGUAGUUGUUUUGUCCAUGGCUUUGUGUAACAUAAUCCCUUGAGAGUACUUGAGAAAGUUAGAUGAAGCUCUUGAGGUAUAUACUUACAAGUCAUGUGCUGCCGUUUUCUAUGACAGUCUUUAGCAAUAGUUUUUCUUCUAGACACUGUUUGGUUGUGUAAUUAUUUGAUUAAAAGUACUUCCAUGUGAACUCAAUAACUUGAUAUGAAUGUUAGGUUGCUGCUCAUAAUUUUGCUCCUGUGUUCAUAAUCUACAAUGCUGGAACUGAUAUUCUAGAUGGCGAUCCUUUGGGCAGUCACCAUUGUUAAAAUAGUGUGUUUUCUGAUCAUGGGGCCCACAGUUUGAAAGUCACCAAAAAAAUUGAUAGUGCCUUUUUGAGUCUUUGUCACGCCAGCAAUGGCAACAAUUCAGGAAUUGGUGUCUAAGAUGGUGGCUAUUGCCAUUACACACCAAUCAUUGUUGUCUUUUACUUCAAUCCACACCAUUGUGAAUGGUGUUUAUAGGUCAGUUUU